rnacentral:rRNA from 1 species
AGAGUUUGAUCCUGGCUCAGAACGAACGCUGGCGGCGUGCCUAACACAUGCAAGUCGAACGGAAUUGAGGGGCUUGCUCUUCAAUUUAGUGGCGCACGGGUGAGUAACGCGUAGAUAAUCUGCCUGACGAUCUGGGAUAACACUUCGAAAGAGGUGCUAAUACCGGAUAAGCCCACGGGUUCUUUGGAAUCUGCGGGAAAAGGGGGGGACCUUCGGGCCUUCUGUCGUCAGAUGAGUCUGCGUACCAUUAGCUAGUUGGUAGGGUAAUGGCCUACCAAGGCGACGAUGGUUAGCUGGUCUGAGAGGAUGAUCAGCCACACUGGAACUGAGACACGGUCCAGACUCCUACGGGAGGCAGCAGCUAAGAAUCUUCCGCAAUGGGGGCAACCCUGACGGAGCGAUGCCGCGUGAUUGAAGAAGGUCGAGAGAUUGUAAAGAUCUUUUCUGGGUGAGGAAUAAGUGUGGUAGGAAAUGACUGCAUGAUGACGUUAACCCAGGAAUAAGCCCCGGCCAAUUACGUGCCAGCAGCCGCGGUAACACGUAAGGGGCGAGCGUUGUUCGGAAUUAUUGGGCGUAAAGGGCGUGCAGGCGGCUUUACAAGUCUGUUGUGAAAUCCCGGGGCUUAACUCCGGAUCCGCGAUGGAAACUGUAAGGCUCGAAUCUUGGAGGGGGAGUUGGAAUUCCUAGUGUAGGGGUGAAAUCUGUUGAUAUUAGGAAGAACACCGGUGGCGAAGGCGAACUCCUGGCCGAAGAUUGACGCUGAGGCGCGAAAGCGUAGGUAGCAAACAGGAUUAGAUACCCUGGUAGUCC